AUUGAACGCUGGCGGCAGGCUUAACACAUGCAAGUCGAGCGGGGUGAUGGUGCUUGCACUAUCACUUAGCGGCGGACGGGUGAGUAAUGCUUAGGAAUCUGCCUAUUAGUGGGGGACAACAUCUCGAAAGGGAUGCUAAUACCGCAUACGUCCUACGGGAGAAAGCAGGGGAUCACUUGUGACCUUGCGCUAAUAGAUGAGCCUAAGUCGGAUUAGCUAGUUGGUGGGGUAAAGGCCUACCAAGGCGACGAUCUGUAGCGGGUCUGAGAGGAUGUACGGCCACACUGGGACUGAGACACGGCCCAGACUCCUACGGGAGGCAGCAGUGGGGAAUAUUGGGCAGUGGGGGGAACCCUGAGCCAGCCAUGCCGCGUGUGUGAAGAAGGCCUUAUGGUUGUAAAGCACUUUAAGCGAGGAGGAGGCUCUUUUGGUUAAUACCCAAGAUGAGUGGACGUUACUCGCAGAAUAAGCACCGGCUAACUCUGUGCCAGCCGCCGCAGUAA
rnacentral:rRNA from 1 species